rnacentral:lncRNA from 1 species
UGGGGAGGAUCUACUGGACGAAUUACAAGAAGCUCAAUAUUUUUUCAAAUUGAAUCUAAGGUUGGGUUACCAUCAAAUUCGAAUGAAAGAAAGGGAUAACACAAAACGACGUUCAAAACUCAUCACGACCUUUGGGAGUUCAGGGUGAUAUCAUUUGGGCUCACUAAUGCUUCAGCCACGUUCAAGACCUAUGCACAAGAUAUUUGGACCGUAUCUCAGAAAGUUUGUACUUGUAUUUUUUGAUGAUAUUUUAAUUUACAGUACGAAUAUUAUGGAAUAUGUGACCCAUUUAGAAAUUGUAUUUAAUCUAUUAGGAGAUAACCAACUCUUCAUCAAAAGAUCAAAGUGCACUUUUUCUUAGAAAAUGGUAGAAUAUGUAGGCCAUAUAAUUAUGGUAAUGAGGUCAGUACAGAUAAAGAAAAAAAUAAAUCCAUGUUGCAAUUGGGCAAAUUUAAAUCUCUCAAAGAUUUGAGAGGUUUCUUGGGCAUAACAGGAUACUGUCGUAGGUUUAUUAAAAGUUUUGCUGUGAUUAGUAAACCUUUAAUCAAUCUGUUGAAAAAGGGAAAUAUCUUAUGGAAUGAGAAAGCAACUAAGGCAUUUGAGGAGCUCAAACUAGCAACGGCAAACACCCAGUCUUACAUUACCCAAUUUUCCAUUUAUUUUGUAGUAGAAGUUGAUGUUUGUGGUAGAGAAGUAGGAACAUAUUUGAGCCAAGCAUUGAUUACUAGGCAUCAUGGCUUGUCAACAUAUGAAAAAGAAUUGAUCACUUUACAUAUGAUUGUGGAUAAGUGGCAUUAUGACUUGCAACAGAGUCAUUUUGCAAUCAAAACAGAUCAUUUUGGCCUUAAGUUCCGGAGAAAUCAAAGGAUUACUAAUGCCUUACAACACAAAGGAUUUACCAAACUCAUGGGUCUUAGCUACGAAAUAUAUUAUAAAAAGAGAGUUGAAAAUGUCAUAGCGGAUACCCUCUCUAGAAAUUUUAAAGAAUCUGAGUGUGGUAAUUCAUCCCAAAUAGAUGGUUAAAGUCAUGAAAAACUACAAUAGUGACACAAAAGCACAAGAUAUGAUUACUUAACUAAGUAUUGACUUUAGUAGUCAAACUAAUAGUCAAUUUCAUUAGAGAAUUCUCAGGAACCAAGGGCAAGUAUGGGCGGGAAGUAAUGGCCAAUUAAGACCAAAGCUUAUUUCUGAGCUACAUGAAACUCCUUGGGACGGAUAUUCAGGUGUAUAUGCAAAUCAACAGAAGGUGCAAGCCUUGUUUUAUUGGCCGAGCCUAUUGCAAGAUGUGAAAAACUUUAUUAAAGAAAGCAAAAUAUGUCAAAUAAACAAAGGAGAGAAUAUACUUUAUCCUGGACUACUUCAACCUUUGCCAAUUCCCACUAAGGCAUGGGAGCAUUUAACCAAAGAUUUCAUCAAGGCUCUGCCAAAAUCAAACAGGAAGCACUCAAUUCUAGUGGUAAUUGACAAGUAUAUAAAAUUUGCACUCUUUUUUGGCUUAGUCAUCCCUACAAUGUUGCUCAAAUUUCACAGGUCUUUUUAGACAAUAUUUGCAAAUUACAUAGCCUUUCUAGUUCGAUUGUCUCAGAUAGGGAUCCUAUAUUUAUCAGUACCUUUUGGAGGGAACUAUUUAAGGGAUUGCAUAUCUAAUUAAAGCCAAGUUCAGCGUAUCAUUCCCAAACUGAUGGUCAAUCUGAUAGGCUUAAUAGAUGCUUGAAGACGUACCUUUAUAGUAUGGAGAGAUACAAACCAUCUAAGUAGAGCAAAUGGUUACCAUUAAUAGAAUUUUGGUAUAAUUCUAACUUUUAUACUUCAAUUGGAAUGACUCCUUUCAAAGCCCUUUAUGGUUAUGAUCCACCCCAGCCUACUUUUGAAUUAGUGGCUUAAUCGAAAUUGGAUGUCGUUGACUAAGUAUUGAGAGAAAGACAAUUGAUGAACAAGAUAUUGCAAGAUAAUUUGAAGAAGCCCAAAAUUGAACGAAGAACUAUGGUGACACUAAGAGGACCGAGAGGAAAUUCGAAGUCUAGGAUUGGGUCUUCUUAAAAUUGCAGCCUCAUCGCCAAACUUCAAUAGCCGUGAAAAAGAAUUUGAAGUUAUCUGCCAGAUUCUUUGGUCCUUAAAAAGUAAUUCGUAAGGUGGGGGAAGUAGCUUAUGAGCUCUGUCUUCCUAGUGACUCCAGAAUCUAUCCUGUGUUUCAUGUCUCGCAAUUGAAAAAAAAGAUAAGUGACAAGGUUAUGGCAUUUCAAGAUCCUCCCUAAUGCACUAAUGAAGGGAAAAUUUUGACAAAACCCAUAUCAAUUUUGGAAAGACGUAUGUUCAAGAAAGGUAACUGGGUAGUGACACAAGUGUUAAUCCAAUGGGCAAACCUUCUAGCAAAUGAAGCAACAUGGCAGGAUUAUGCUUUGUAAAGUCUCAGUUUUCAAAUUUUGAACCUUGAUUCGACAAUUAAGUUUCUGAAGGAGAGUGGAAUGUAAUAUGAAGGAGAAGAACAAGUGUUCUGGGCCUUUAUUUGCAAUUGAGCCGAGUAUAA